rnacentral:rRNA from 1 species
CCUACGGGUGGCUGCAGUGGGGAAUAUUGGGCAAUGGGCGCAAGCCUGACCCAGCAACGCCGCGUGAAGGAAGAAGGCUUUCGGGUUGUAAACUUCUUUUAUGAGGGACGAAGGAAGUGACGGUACCUCAUGAAUAAGCCACGGCUAACUACGUGCCAGCAGCCGCGGUAAUACGUAGGUGGCGAGCGUUAUCCGGAUUUACUGGGUGUGAAGGGCGUGUAGGCGGGCUUGCAAGUCAGAUGUGAAAACUAUGGGCUCAACCCAUAGACUGCAGUUGAAACUGUAGGUCUUGAGGGAUGGAGAGGCAGGCGGAAUUCCGGGUGUAGCGGUGAAAUGCGUAGAUAUACGGAGGAACACCAGUGGCGAAGGCGGCCUGCUGGACAUUAACUGACGCUGAGGCGCGAAAGCGUGGGGAGCAAACAGGAUUAGAUACCCCAGUAGUC